CCAGACAGGCGAUACUUUUCCUCAGCUUUGAGACGAUUUCAUUUCAUGGUUUCAUGAUGUAAGUACUGCUACCUGAGCUGAUGACGUCAGUGGUUAAGGACAACUGCUUCAAUGUAGGGGUGUCUGUGGAGACUCACUCUUGACAGUGGCAGUCCUGGUGCAGUUGUAGAGAAUAGCCAGCUCUCCAAACACCUUUCCUGGCCCCAUGGUGCAGAGCUUCAGGCUCUCCUUCGUCACCUCCACCUUCCCGUCUGAAACAUGCACAGAAAUACAGGGUUUGGGCGUACAUUUCACCCUAGUACUGCCACAAGUGAUCUUCCAGCAGAGCAUAGCAAUCUAUAUUCUUCUUCAAUGCACUUAAUAUCGUUGCCCUUCUAGUUAUCAUCCCAUUAAUUUCUGUUAAUAAAUCCAAAUUAUAUCAUGUUGGUUUCACGGAUGUAGUGGUUUGUUUAGACUGUUACCAGGGUGAAAGUGAUUUCUUCUAUGUUGUCUUUACUUUGUGAUUUGCUAAACGUGACACUGCUUCCUGCUUCCAUUACUUUAUGUUAUGCCGCCAAUCUGUACAAACAUAAAAGAAACACACACAUUAACGUGUGUGAACACCUGUAUAUCUUCGCUUAUGUGCAGCCCUGAGAAGCAUAAUUCCAGCUUAAAGAAAGCAAAUCCAUAGUUUUCUUCUUUAACACUGUAAGAAGCUCAUUGCCCCUGUGACUGGGGGGAUGGCUGCUGCCACUGUGUUUAGACAAGACUCAUCAAGCAUGUAUGCUUUCCUGGAAACUCAGCAUUCCAGCAGGACCAUAACUCUGAUUCACAGAGAGUAAAACCCCAAAGAAAACAGUUAAAGUCAGCUCCAGGCUUCUGAUGAAAUAUGGAAAGAUGAUAAGAGCAGGUGAGUCAUCCACAGAGGAAACAAUAUGACAUGUUAUCUUGUUAGAGAGGCCAUGAACCCCUUUGACAAAAUGCUUUCAAAAAACUUGACAUGUUUCAGGACUAAUUCUUUUCUCCACUUUGUAGUUUUUUCCACCUUAUUGGAACUAGAGUGCGCCUUUUUCGUCAUGGUAAACAAUACGUUAUCCAAGCACCCAGCAACACCCAGCAUGAAAGUAUACAUGCAGACCUCUUACAGUGUGUCACCAUCUUACUGUCUACUGCUGUUUUCAUUGUCCUUGAUUAACAGCCUUUUUCUUGUGUCAGAGCUUCCUGAAACAUUUACCUCUUGUUCCACUCAUAUGAAGAAACUGCUGGGGAUCAAAAAAAAAACUAACUGCUCCAUUAAAAAGCUUCAUUCACAUUUUUAACAAUGCUUGCAAACAGUGCUUGUGCAUCUUUCACCAUUAUCAGCUUAAGUAGAUUGAUUGAAAAACAUACACACAAUAAAUCUCUAUUUUAAAUCUCUCACUCAAAUGCUUCUUUCAAUGGUACAUAAUCACUGGACUGCUCACUUUCAGAAACUUAUGUCUGAAUCUGAAAAAGACAGUAACUAUGCUUUUGAAGUUUGCUUCUCAAUGUACAUAGGAAAAAUAUGAAAACACUCAUUGUAGAUUGUAUUUUUCCAUGUAUAUUGUAUAUUUUCUACUCCUUCCAAACAAGCUGGUGUUUGUCACUUUCAUAAGUAUAAAAUAGACAACUUCCUUUGCACCUGUCACGAUAAUUAUUUUUAGGUCAGUUAAAAUUAUCAAGGUUAUGUCCACAUAUCAUACAAUAUUGCCUGUUGUGUUUACAUGUGUGUUUAUUUGGAUAAGAAUGUCACCAACAUUUUAACCAACAUGAUGCCAGAAUGAACAGCAUUAUCAGACUUGGGCACAACGCCUGAGCGUUUUUUUUUCACAGCACCUAAGCUGAAUGUAACAGAAAAAAACUAUGCGACACAUUUUGCUGUCAUUUCUGGCCGCACUGCUUCUGUCCUCUUGUCAUCUGCUCUCUGUGUCUGAGU